rnacentral:misc_RNA from 1 species
AAUUUAUAAUGUGGGACAGAUGUUUCCAUUAUGUAAAAACAAAAUUAUAUGUUCUGAUGAAUUUAUGAUAUUCAGAAACAUAAUCAUAUUUUGUAAUACCAUGUCAUACCUCAUCACAAUGGCAUUGAUUAGUCACUGAAAUUUUCAGUUUACAGACAAAUAAACUGCUGCUUCAGUAUUUUCCGUGGAAUGCUUGGAUAUGGUAGUCCCUGACGUAGGCUCCAAUGAAGGCAUGCCUGACUUUGUGCUACUGUACAUGAGAAAUCCAGGUUGUGAAGGUAGUGGCAGACUUAGGGAAUGGCUACUGAGCAUUAGAACAACUGAUGCCAUGGUGGGUCUAGCUGCUGCAUUUUCUUGAACACAUAGUAACCCAAUGUGUAUACAUCUGAUUAUAUCACCUGUUGGACCAUUCUUCUGUGUAUUGUCGAACAGAUUUGAAAUUUUUCCUUCUCUCCAAUUCUUCCAUGCCUGCAGGGUGUGGAUGGAAAUCCGACAAUCAGACUUGAAUUUAAUUCUUUAUAUCAUCAAAGUAAAAGGAAAGAGAUGGAAAUAAUGUGUAGUUAGUUUUCCGUUAAAAUCAGGGCUAAUCACACGAAUUAGGAUUAUUACACAGCUUAGUACACUUACAUGGCCUAAAAGAUGUUCUACUUCAUUUGAAUUACUCAGCCAGCUGUUCUUCUUACCACUCACCAUCUCCAGAACUAUGACACCGAAGCUAAAUACAUCUGAUUUCAUGGAGAAUCGAUUUUAUAAAACAUAUUCUGGAGCCAUAUAUCUACUGUACAGUAUCAAAAAGAAGAUGUUAGUGAAUUUAGCUAUUUACCAUUAUUCUAUCUGUUAACUUUAUAUAAUGCAAGAAUUUUCCAUCUCUUCUGUAGGAACAAUAUGCAGUUGCUAUGACACAAAAGCAUCAAUAGUAAGCAUAAAGGUAAUUUUGUUACGUACUAAGUCCCUGCAACUCUUCUAGUAAUGCCUUGGGUUUGAUCCAAAACAAACAGUCUUACCAUAUCAAAAUCUGAAAUUUUAGGGUUCA